UGAACGCUAGCGGCAUGCCUAACACAUGCAAGUCGAACGGAGUUGGAGGUAGCUUGCUACUGACAACUUAGUGGCGGACGGGUGAGUAACGCGUGAGUAACCUGCCUCUAAGAGGGGGAUAACGUUCUGAAAAGAACGCUAAUACCGCAUAUAAUUACGAAAUCGCAUGAUUUUGUGAUGAAAGGAGCAAUCCGCUUAGAGAUGGACUCGCGUCUGAUUAGCUAGGAUGGUGGGGUAACGGCUCACCAUGGCGACGAUCAGUAGCCGGACUGAGAGGUUGAACGGCCACAUUGGGACUGAGACACGGCCCAGACUCCUACGGGAGGCAGCAGUGGGGGAUAUUGCGCAAUGGGGGAAACCCUGACGCAGCAAUGCCGCGUGAAGGAUGAAGGUUUUCGGAUUGUAAACUUCUUUUGUUAAGGACGAUAAUGACGGUACUUAACGAAUAAGCUCCGGCUAACUAUGUGCCAGCCGCAGC
rnacentral:rRNA from 1 species